rnacentral:tRNA from 1 species
GGGGGUAUAGCUCAGCUGGCUAGAGCACCUGCUUUGCAAGCAGGGGGUCAAGAGUUCGAAUCUCUUUAUCUCCACCA